AUCAGAUCUUUAUGGUUUACCAUAAAAAGAGCCACUUUAAAUCUGAGAGGAUUGGAGUGGUAAAUUCCUGUGUCCUGAGCACAUAAGGACUUUCAUCUUCCCUACUGUCUAAACAAGUUGCUUAGGGGACUGAAAAGGUGACUUCAAAAUGUUUUUGGCCUUUAUCACAAUCAAGACACUAUCUUUGCCAACAAGAAUACCUGCAGAACUUCACCAUCUACAAGAAUCUCUCUGCCAUUUAGACUUCGCUAGAACAUUGUAAAGGUUUUCAAGUGAAUUUUAUUCUCCAUUUACAAAUUAAACUGAGAGGUGAAAAAACCUGAAUAAACUUAUUAAACCUU